GUCGAACAGGACACCGCCGCGACGUCGUCGAUCAAGGUUCGAUCGGUGUGGUGGCCGACCGAGGCGAUCACCGGCACCGGCAGCAG
rnacentral:sRNA from 12 species